rnacentral:sRNA from 1 species
AAAGUGACUAACCUUGGCAGGGUAAGA